rnacentral:rRNA from 1 species
CCUACGUGGAGCUGCAGUGGGGAAUAUUGGACAAUGGGCGAAAGCCUGAUCCAGCCAUGCCGCGUGUGUGAAGAAGGCCUUCGGGUUGUAAAGCACUUUCAGUGGGGAAGAAAGCCUUGGGGCUAAUACCCUCGAGGAAGGACAUCACCCACAGAAGAAGCACCGGCUAACUCCGUGCCAGCAGCCGCGGUAAUACGGAGGGUGCGAGCGUUAAUCGGAAUUACUGGGCGUAAAGCGCGCGUAGGCGGUCUGAUAAGCCGGUUGUGAAAGCCCCGGGCUCAACCUGGGAACGGCAUCCGGAACUGUCAGGCUAGAGUGCAGGAGAGGAAGGUAGAAUUCCCGGUGUAGCGGUGAAAUGCGUAGAGAUCGGGAGGAAUACCAGUGGCGAAGGCGGCCUUCUGGACUGACACUGACGCUGAGGUGCGAAAGCGUGGGUAGCAAACAGGAUUAGAUACCCUAGUAGU